rnacentral:rRNA from 1 species
GGACGAACGCUGGCGGCGUGCUUAACACAUGCAAGUCGAGCGGUAAGGCCCCUUUCGGGGGUACACGAGCGGCGAACGGGUGAGUAACACGUGGGUGACCUGCCCUCAGCUCUGGGAUAAGCCUGGGAAACCGGGUCUAAUACUGGAUAUGACUCCAUGACGCAUGUUGUGGGGUGGAAAGCCUUGUGCGGCUGAGGAUGGGCCCCGCGGCCUAUCAGCUUGUUGGUGGGGUGA